GGACCAUCCUCCAAGGCUAAAUACUCCUGACUGACCGAUAGUGAACCAGUACCGUGAGGGAAAGGCGAAAAGAACCCCGGCGAGGGGAGUGAAAAAGAACCUGAAACCGUGUACGUACAAGCAGUGGGAGCACGCUUAGGCGUGUGACUGCGUACCUUUUGUAUAAUGGGUCAGCGACUUAUAUUCUGUAGCAAGGUUAACCGAAUAGGGGAGCCGAAGGGAAACCGAGUCUUAACUGGGCGUUAAGUUGCAGGGUAUAGACCCGAAACCCGGUGAUCUAGCCAUGGGCAGGUUGAAGGUUGGGUAACACUAACUGGAGGACCGAACCGACUAAUGUUGAAAAAUUAGCGGAUGACUUGUGGCUGGGGGUGAAAGGCCAAUCAAACCGGGAGAUAGCUGGUUCUCCCCGAAAGCU
rnacentral:rRNA from 1 species